rnacentral:rRNA from 1 species
UACGAAGGGGGCUAGCGUUGCUCGGAAUUACUGGGCGUAAAGCGCACGUAGGCGGCUUUCUAAGUCGGGGGUGAAAUCCUGGAGCUCAACUCCAGAACUGCCUUUGAUACUGGGAAUCUCGAGUCCGGGAGAGGUGAGUGGAACUGCGAGUGUAGAGGUGAAAUUCGUAGAUAUUCGCAAGAACACCAGUGGCGAAGGCGGCUCACUGGCCCGGUACUGACGCUGAGGUGCGAAAGCGUGGGGAGCAAACAGGG